rnacentral:rRNA from 1 species
UACGUAGGCAGCAAGCGUUGUUCGGAAUUACUGGGCGUAAAGAGUGUGUAGGUGGUGCUCUAAGUUUGGUGUGAAAUCUCCCGGCUUAACUGGGAGGGUGCAUCGAAAACUGGAGUGCUCGAGUAUGGGAGAGGCAAGCGGAAUUCCUGGUGUAGCGGUGAAAUGCGUAGAUAUCAGGAGGAACACCUGUGGUGUAGACAGCUUGCUGGACCAUUACUGACACUGAGACACGAAAGCGUGGGUAGCAAACAGG